rnacentral:rRNA from 1 species
CCUACGGGAGGCAGCAGUGGGGAAUAUUGCGCAAUGGGCGAAAGCCUGACGCAGCGACGCCGCGUGAGGGAUGCAGGUCUUCGGAUCGUAAACCUCUGUCAGCAGGGAAGAACGGUCACUGUGCUAAUCAGCAGUGAAUUGACGGUACCUGCAAAGGAAGCACCGGCUAACUCCGUGCCAGCCGCCGCGGUAAUACGGAGGGUGCGAGCGUUAAUCGGAAUUACUGGGCGUAAAGCGCUCGUAGGCGGUCUGUCAAGUCAAGGGUGAAAUCCCCGCGCUCAACGUGGGAACUGCCUUUGAAACUGGCAAACUGGAGUGUGUGAGAGGAUAGUGGAAUUCCAGGUGGAGGAGUGAAAUCCGUAGAUAUCUGGAGGAACAUCAGUGGCGAAGGCGACUAUCUGGCACAUAACUGACGCUGAGGAGCGAAAGCGUGGGUAGCAAACAGGAUUAGAUACCCUAGUAGUC